AUUGAACGCUGGCGGCAGGCCUAACACAUGCAAGUCGAGCGGAUGAAGGGAGCUCGCUCCUGGAUUCAGCGGCGGACGGGUGAGUAAUGCCUAGGAAUCUGCCUGGUAGUGGGGGAUAACGUCCGUAAACGGGCGCUAAUACCGCAUACGUCCUGAGGGAGAAAGUGGGGGAUCUUCGGACCUCACGCUAUCAGAUGAGCCUAGGUCGGAUUAGCUAGUUGGUGGGGUAAAGGCCUACCAAGGCGACGAUCCGUAACUGGUCUGAGAGGAUGAUCAGUCACACUGGAACUGAGACACGGUCCAGACUCCUACGGGAGGCAGCAGUGGGGAAUAUUGGACAAUGGGCGAAAGCCUGAUCCAGCCAUGCCGCGUGUGUGAAGAAGGUCUUCGGAUUGUAAAGCACUUUAAGUUGGGAGGAAGGGCAGUAAGUUAAUACCUUGCUGUUUUGACGUUACCAACAGAAUAAGCACCGGCUAACUUCGUG
rnacentral:rRNA from 1 species